rnacentral:rRNA from 1 species
AUUGAACGCUAGCGGGAUGCCUUACACAUGCAAGUCGAACGGAGUGGCGAACGGGUGAGUAAUGUAUCGGAACGUGCCCAGUAGCGGGGGAUAACUACGCGAAAGCGGAGCUAAUACCGCAUACUAUUGGAGCGGCCGAUAUCGGAUUAGCUAGUUGGGGGGGUAACGGCUCACCAAGGCGACGAUCCGUAGCUGGUUUGAGAGGACGACCAGCCAAACGGGGACUGGGCCACGGCCCAGCCUCCUCCGGGAGGCAGCAGUGGGGAAUUUUGGACAAUGGGGAAAACCCUGAGCCGGCCAUCCGGCGUGUGGGAUGAAGGCCUUCGGGUGGUAAAGCACUUUUGGCAGGAAAGCGGUACCUGCAGAAUAAGCACCGGCUAACUACGUGCCAGCAGCCGCGGUAAUAC